rnacentral:rRNA from 1 species
GACGAACGCUGGCGGCGUGCUUAACACAUGCAAGUCGAACGGAAAGGCCCCUUUGGGGGUACUCGAGUGGCGAACGGGUGAGUAACACGUGAGUAACCUGCCCUUGACUUCGGGAUAACUUCAGGAAACUGGGGCUAAUACCGGAUAGGAAUCCUUGCUGCAUGGUGGGGGUUGGAAAGCUUCGGCGGUUUUGGAUGGACUCGCGGCUAAUCGGCUUGUUGGUGGGGUAGUGGCUUACCAAGGCUUUGACGGGUAGCCGGCCUGGGAGGGCGACCGGCCACAUGGGGACUGAGAGAGGGCCCAGUGUCCAACGGGGGGCAACGGGGGGAAAUAUGGCACAAGGGGGGGAAGCCGGUGGAGAAAACCCCCGGGGCGGGAAGACGGCUUUCGGGGUGAAAACCGCUUUCGGCGGGGGCGAAGCUGGUGGGACGGGACCCAGAGAAAAAGGACCGGCUAACUUCGUG